rnacentral:rRNA from 1 species
UACGGAGAGGGCAAGCGUUGUUCGGAUUUAUUGGGCGUAAAGCGCGCGUAGGCGGCAUGGUAAGUCGGAUGUUAAAGACCCACGGCUCACCCGGGGGAAUGCGUUCGAUACUGCCGUGCUGGAGUGCGGGAGAGGGAAGUGGAAUUCCUGGUGUAGCGGUGAAAUGCGUAGAUAUCAGGAGGAACACCUGUGGCGAAGGCGGCUUCCUGGCCCGUAACUGACGCUGAGGCGCGAAAGCGUGGGGAGCGAACGGG